UGUGGGGGUGUGAGGGGUGCUGUGUGUGAGGGGGUGCAGUGUGUUUCUGUUUGUGUGUUUCUGUGAGGGGUUCUGUUUGUGUGUGAGGUGGUGUAGUGUGUGUCAAGGGCCUAUAUUGUGGUGGGAGGGAUCAGGAAGAAAAUAUAGAUAGUUUUCUGUUUUUACUUAAAAAGAGGGGAAAAAAUGUAUGCAUCCCCCCUCCCCUCUGGCCUGGAAGGAGAGGAC